CUAUAUUUUCUUUUUUAUAGGAAUGAGUUGAGGAUUUAGGCAGCGGCCAGACAACCGUAGGGAUGGUAUCCACAGAUGAAGGGAUAAUUUAAUCCUUUUUUUGUCUACUGAUUCCAUCUCACAUUA
rfam:Morus notabilis contig25691, whole genome shotgun sequence.